rnacentral:rRNA from 1 species
AAACCAACAGGGAUUGCCUUAGUAGCGGCGAGUGAAGCGGCAAUAGCUCAAAUUUGAAAUCUGGCGUCUUCGGCGUCCGAGUUGUAAUUUGAAGAAGGUAUCUUUGAGGCUGGCUCUUGUCUAUGUUCCUUGGAACAGGACGUCACAGAGGGUGAGAAUCCCGUGCGAUGAGAUGCCCAGUUUCGUGUAAAGUUCCUUCGACGAGUCGAGUUGUUUGGGAAUGCAGCUCUAAGUGGGUGGUAAAUUCCAUCUAAAGCUAAAUAUUGGCGAGAGACCGAUAGCGAACAAGUACUGUGAAGGAAAGAUGAAAAGAACUUUGAAAAGAGAGUGAAAAAGUACGUGAAAUUGUUGAAAGGGAAGGGCUUGAGGUCAGACUUGGUUUACCAGGCCAGCAUCAGUUUGGGUGGCAGGAGAAUAGCUAAGGAAAGUGGCACAAUUUCGAUUGUGUGUUAUAGCCUUGGUUGAUACUGCCUGCCUAGACUGAGGACUGCGUCUUGACUAGGAUGCUGGCAUAAUGACCUUAAGCCGCCCGUCUUGAAACACGGACCAAGGAGUCUAACGUCUAUGCGAGUGUUUGGGUGUAAAACCCGUACGCG